ACGUGCAUCGAUACUGCAGACUAGAGUGUAGGAGGGGAGAAUGGAAUUCCUGGUGUAAACGGUAAAUUUGUAGAGAUCAGGAGGAACAACGGAGGCCGAAGGCGAUUCUUCUGGACUAAUACUGACGCUGAGAUGCGAAGGUGUGGGGGAGCAAACAGGAUUAGAUACCCUGGUAGUCCACACCAGUAAACGAUGGAUACUAGAUGUCGGAGGUAUUUCCCUUCGGUAUCGAAGCAAACGCGAUAAGUAUCCCGCCUGAGGAGUACGGUCGCAAGAUUAAAACUUAAAGAAAUUGACGGGGACCCGCACAAGCGGUGGAGUAUGUGGUUUAAUUCGAGGCAACGCGAAGAACCUUACCAGGUCUUGACAUCCUGUGCUAUUUUGAGAGAUCAGGAGUUCCCUUCGGGGACGCAGAGACAGGUGCUGCAUGGCUGUCGUCAGCUCGUGUCGUGAGAUGUUGGGUUAAGUCCCGCAACGAGCGCAACCCUUGCCAUUAGUUGCCAGCAUUAAGUUGGGCACUCUAAUGGGACCGCUAGCCGAUAAGGCAGAGGAAGGUGGGGACGACGUCAAAUCAUCAUGCCCCUUAUAUCCUGGGCUACACACGUAAUACAAUGGCGUUUAACAGAGGGAAGCAAAGCCGCGAGGUGGAGCGAAUCCCUAAAAGGCGUCUCAGUUCGGAUCGCAGGCUGCAACCCGCC
rnacentral:rRNA from 1 species